rfam:Aedes aegypti strain Liverpool supercont1.3 genomic scaffold, whole genome shotgun sequence.
CAAACGGCCUUUUUCAAGGCCACCAACAUUUCGAUAAAGAAUUAGU